UAAGUAAGCGGGGGAAAAGGAACUAAAUAGGAUUCCCUCAGUAAUGGCGAAUGAACAGGGAUGAGCUCAGGCUGGAAACCGAUACAUCUGUGUCGGGCUGUAGCCUGCAGGCAUAGCGCUAUCGGCGGCUCGAGCGCAAGCCUCUUGGAAUAGAGCGUGUGCCCGGGUGAGAAUCCUGCAUUUCGCUCGAUGUCCGCUGUCCACAGUGCUUGUCCUGAGAGUCACGCUCCUCGGAAUUGGAGCGUAAAUCAGGUGGUAAGUUUCAUCCAAAGCUAAAUAGAAGCUCGAGACCAAUAGCAAACAAGUACCAUGAGGGAAAGAUGAAAAGGACUUUGGAAAGAGAGUUAAAAGUGUUUGAAAUUGCUGAGAGCGAAGCGAACGGAGCCACAUGUCGUGCUGAGAUUGCUGUGGGUCUUUGUGAGCCUUGAGCAUGUAAGCGCAAGCUGACUGCUUAUGUGUGAGCAUUUACCCGCAGUGUUUCUCAGCAUGCGAGUCAUUAGCCACAUUUGUUUGAGGAUGGCCUUCAGCUCACAUGGUACACUUGUUAGUGUUCCUCUGUGCGGUGUGGGACUCAGACAGGUGUGGCUUGUUGACCCAGUGGUUUUUUUCGACCCGUCUUGAAACACGGACCA
rnacentral:rRNA from 1 species